rnacentral:lncRNA from 1 species
GCCAGAAGAGGGCAUCGGAUCCCAUUACAGACAGUUGUGAGCCACACCAUGUGGUUGCUGGGAUUUGAACUCAGGACCUCUGGAAGAACAGCCAGUGCUCUUAACCUCGAGCCACCUCUCCAGCCCUGACUGUUCUUUACUCAUCUGCUGAUGAACAUCUAGGUUAUAGAAAGGACAUGGAAGGAGGAAGCCAGCUCUCUCUGCCUGCUUACUCUGGCAAGUCCAUUUCUUCACUGACAUUAGAGCCUAAUUCUUCUGGAUUCCAGCACACACUGAAGACCAGCUGAGACCUCCAGACUUGUGUACUGAACAACCACAGAUCCCUGGACCUUUUGUUGGUGGGCAGCCAUUGUUGGACCAGCUGAACCGCAGCCUGUAUGCCAGUCUAAUAAAUCCCCAAGAUAGAUACAGAUUAUAGAUAUGGAUGCAUGAGCUCUAGACAAAUAACUAACCUAUUGAUUUUAGCAGCUUUGGUUAUUUUUGAAGGGAAAAUAAA